GGCGUUGAACCACCUGAUCCCAUCCCGAACUCAGCAGUGAAAAGCGCCAUCGCCGAUGGUAGUGUGGGGGAUCCCAUGUGAGAGUAGGUC
rnacentral:rRNA from 1 species